CAUGCCCCGCUGGAGGAGAUGCUAACCUGCUCCCUGCCGGCUGAGGCCGAGGCCUCGGGGACCUCUCUGGCCCCUGGUACUCAAAGCCUGCCUGUUAGGGAUUCUGCGGGGUGUGUGCCCAGGCGUGUGAGGGAAAGCACGAGAGCCCCAGAGGGAAACCAGCGUUACGCUUGCACUUGCACGUUCCAAUCCCCAAAGGGUGUGAUUCAUCCCAAACGCGAGCUGAAAACCUUACUAAUUUCACCUUCCUGUCCAAACUGCCUCCUUUUCCAGACUUCUGCCCCUUCUACAUUCCGACGACAACCGACAUCGUGUUUUCUGCAAAAAGAAAAGCAAGCUGACUGCCAACCAUGGAGGGAAAGUUCUGGAAAGUGGAUUGCGAACCUCUAAGAGAUUUUCUAAAGUACUCAAAAGGUCAGUGAAUAUGAAAAUAUAGAAGUCCCUAGUGAUUUUUGUGAGAAGAGUUUCAGUGACGUAUCGGAGGGAGAAGCCAGACAGCAAGAGAUGAGCGGCCACGGGGACGAUGGAGAAAACCAAGGCACUGGCAACACACUAUGAACUUGAAAGGAGUGACGCAGGCAGAGAAGUGGGGCAAUUACUAGAAAGGGAAACGCGGAGACACUGUGCAUUUCUCAAUGCGAGAACUCCAGAGAUGAAUAAAGCUUGAAAAGGACAAAAGAAAAACGUGUAAAAAUGGCAUUUGGAGAUUCUGCUUGAACCCUGUCUACUUAACCACCACAGAAUCUGUUGAAGGAUCAACUAGCUUUCGGAGGUUACAUUUUUACCUGGAUAUAUCUCACAAAAAAAUGGAAACAAGUCAGAGUCAUGCAAAUAUGAGAAGGCUGCCCAAGAAUACAAGGACUCAAAGAGGGUUAAGGAAAAGAUGAAUAUGGAGCAGAGACCAUAUAUGGCCUACAAGGCCCCAGAUACUCACAAUCAAGAGACUCUUUACAGAAAAAGUUUGCUAACCCCUAGUCUAUGCUAACCACAGCAACCCUUCUGCCAGUCUAGUUUUGAGGGUGAACAAGUAACAGCUUUUGGCUCCAGGUUUGAAAUCUGAGAGGAAGUCUGCUGGGACCUACUGGAAAGCUUUUCCUUCCUGAUUAAUAUAAUAAUAAUAGGACCCGGGGGGAAAAUGCCCCCUUGUCUUCCUGCCUUUUGAUGUCGCCAUGUUGCAUCAUAAUAGCCAUCCUUUGACCAGAAAGAAAAAGUCAAGAGAAUCAAGACUCAAAGGGAUAUCAUUUAAAGCCAGAGCAUGGUGAAAUGACUGAAUCGGCCAACCCUGGGAUGGUACAUUUGCAAUAUCUUCAUAGAGGGGAAUGAAGCUCUGGUUUACUUUCCUCUUUUGGAAGGAAGAUGGAAGGGAAACACGUGCGAACCUACUGCUACCUAGAAUUAAAACUUGCAUAGGAGACAAGCAAGGGCUUUAGUGACUCGAUGAUAUGCAUUUGCUGAGUAAGAAACAAGGAGGUUAAGUAAUUUGCCUAAAGCUACACAGCUAAUAUGGGGAAGAGCCAGGAUUUGAACUCAGGUCGCCGGACUCCACAAUCCUUGUUCUUGAUCAUGGGAAGAGGAGGAAAAAACAGUCUCCCUUAUAAUUUUUCACCACUGUCAUCAAAGGAUUGGCAAUGGCCCUUUCAAAGCCUGUAAGCUGGGAGGGCUGGUCCCCGCCCUCGACCUUGGCAAGGGGUGCAUGCAGAUCACCUGCAACCGUGCCACCCAGCCAGCCCUACCGCACCUACUACCACCUCGGGUGUCAAGGGACGCCUGCUUUGAGCAACUUCCCCAUGUGGAAAAGCCACAAACCCCAAUGACAGAAGAAACCAGAGGCAAAGAAAAAAAAAAAAGGAAAGGAAGCACCUCCACGGCCAGCAAUGAAAACAAACGCUCUGAGCAAGGCUGCAGCGAGCCAAGAGGAGACGCACCACCAGGAGGACAUCCGGCCCACGAACAGUCUGUCCACUGACCAGAAGGAAGGAGCCCUCUGGUUACCUGGGGCGGCUAAAGAAGCAAACCACAGGGGCCCGGAGCAAAGAUGUGGCUGAAGAGAAAAGCAAAAGCAAAAGAUAAUGGCAAAUGAAAAGAGUGAAAAGAGCCUUGGCCGCAGUGGUGGCCGCAGCUGGGAGUGGGGCCAGGAUGGUGACACUGCCUGUGGCAAGGCCCCAGGCCAGCAAAGGGGGGGGGGGGUGGACACUACCCAGGAGUCACCCACCAGGGCUGCGAACACAGACCUUAGCAACCCCUCGUGGGCUUUCCACGCACGUGCUCGUGCUUCUGAAUAAAAACAUUGACCGGGGCGCCUGGGUGGCUCAGCGGUUGAGCGUCUGCCUUUGGCUCAGGGCGUGAUCCCGGGGUCCUGGGAUCGAAUCCCGCAU